GGUCCAGACUCCUACGGGAGGCAGCAGUGGGGAAUAUUGCACAAUGGGGGGAACCCUGAUGCAGCGACGCCGCGUGGGUGAAGGAGCACCUCGGUGCGUAAAGCCCUAUCGGCAGGGAAGAAACAGACGGUACCUGACUAAGAAGCCCCGGCUAACUACGUGCCAGCAGCCGCGGGAAUACGGAGGAUGCGAGCGUUAUCCGGAUUUAUUGGGUUUAAAGGGUGCGUAGGCGGACUGGAAAGUCAGCGGUAAAAGCGAGAGGCUCAACCUCUUUCCGCCGUUGAAACUGUCGGUCUUGAGUGGGCGAGAAGUAUGCGGAAUGCGUGGUGUAGCGGUGAAAUGCAUAGAUAUCACGCAGAACUCCGAUUGCGAAGGCAGCAUACCGGCGCCCGACUGACGCUGAGGCACGAAAGCGUGGGUAUCGAACAGGAUUAGAUACCCGUGUA
rnacentral:rRNA from 1 species